CUCCGACUCAGGAACGCAGCGAAGGGCGAUAAGCAGUGCGAAUUGCAGAACCGUGAGUCAUCAGAUUUUUGAACGCGACUGGCGCCGGCUGGCUCCCCAGUCGGCAUGCUUGUUUCAGUGUCUUGUCAACUACUCCCCAAAAAUCCUAAUGCGAGAGAUGCCCUUCUCUUGUUAAACAUGAAAAGCACUCUGCUCCCUGCAAGUGAUCUCAACUUCGGUUGAGGGUCACACUCAAUGCAGCAGUCACAUUGACAACAGUGUGAACUCAUUGAGAGUGGAGAACAGUGCAGUUAACCCUGCAAGUGCUUAGGCAAGCAACCUUUCAUUGCAUCUGAAAUCAAGCAGGACCACCCGCUGAACUUAA
rnacentral:rRNA from 1 species